rnacentral:hammerhead_ribozyme from 1 species
AUCUACGUGACGUGUUCAAAAUAGGACGAAACAUAAGUCCUAGAU